UGACCCAGCAACGCCGCGUGAAGGAAGAAGGCCCUCGGUUGUAAACUUCUUUACCAGGGACGAAGGACGUGACGGUACCUGGAGAAAAAGCAACGGCUAACUACGUGCCAGCAGCCGCGGUAAUACGUAGGUUGCAAGCGUUGUCCGGAUUUACUGGGUGUAAAGGGCGUGUAGGCGGAGAUGCAAGUUGGGAGUGAAAUCCAUGGGCUCAACCCAUGAACUGCUUUCAAAACUGUAUCCCUUGAGUAUCGGAGAGGCAAGCGGAAUUCCUAGUGUAGCGGUGAAAUGCGUAGAUAUUAGGAGGAACACCAGUGGCGAAGGCGGCUUGCUGGACGACAACUGACGCUGAGGCGCGAAAGCGUGGGGAGCAAACAGGAUUAGAUACCCUGGUAGUCCACGCUGUAAACGAUGAAUACUAGGUGUGGGGGGACUGACCCCCUCCGUGCCGCAGUUAACACAAUAAGUAUUCCACCUGGGGAGUACGACCGCAAGGUUGAAACUCAAAGGAAUUGACGGGGGCCCGCACAAGCAGUGGAUUAUGUGGUUUAAUUCGACGCAACGCGAAGAACCUUACCAGGACUUGACAUCCAACUAACGAAGUAGAGAUACAUUAGGUGCCCUUCGGGGAAAGUUGAGACAGGUGGUGCAUGGUUGUCGUCAGCUCGUGUCGUGAGAUGUUGGGUUAAGUCCCGCAACGAGCGCAACCCCUAUUGUUAGUUGCUACGAAAGAGCACUCUAGUGAGACUGCCGUUGACAAAACGGAGGAAGGCGGGGACGACGUCAAAUCAUCAUGCCCCUUAUGUCCUGGGCUACACACGUAAUACAAUGGUGGCGAACAGAGGGAAGCAAAGCCGCGAGGCAGAGCAAAUCCCUAAAAGCCAUCUCAGUUCGGAUUGCAGGCUGCAACUCGCCUGCAUGAAGCUGGAAUUGCUAGUAAU
rnacentral:rRNA from 1 species